rnacentral:miRNA from 1 species
CCGAGCCCAUCCCUGCCCUAG